rnacentral:rRNA from 1 species
AAUUCCGAAGCAACGGCGAAGGAACCUUACCCUGGGUCCUUGGACAUCCCCUGCGUGACCGNUCCAAGUAAUCGGNCCUUUCCUUCGGGACAGCGGUNGACAGGUGGUGCAUGGUUGUCGUCAGCUCGUGUCGUGAGAUGUUGGGUUAAGUCCCGCAACGAGCGCAACCCCUAUCUUCAGUAGCCAGCAUUUAAGGUGGGCACUCUGGAGAGACUGCCAGGGAUAACCUGGAGGAAGGUGGGGAUGACGUCAAAUCAUCAUGCCCCUUAUGACCAGGGCUACACACGUGCUACAAUGGCGUAAACAAAGGGAAGCGAACCUGUGAGGGGAAGCAAAUCUCAAAAAUAACGUCUCAGUUCGGAUUGUAGUCUGCAACUCGACUACAUGAAGCUGGAAUCGCUAGUAAUCGCGAAUCAGCAUGUCGCGGUGAAUACGUUCCCGGGUCUUUGUACACACCGCCCGUCACACCAUGGGAGUCAGUAACGCCCGAAGUCAGUGACCCAACCGUAAGGAGGGAGCUGCCGAAGGUGGGACCGAUAACUGGGGUGAAGU